UAUGAAGGGGGCUAGCGUUGUUCGGAAUUACUGGGCGUAAAGCGCACGUAGGCGGACAUUUAAGUCAGGGGUGAAAUCCCAGAGCUCAACUCUGGAACUGCCUUUGAUACUGGGUGUCUAGAGUAUGGAAGAGGUAAGUGGAACUGCGAGUGUAGAGGUGAAAUUCGUAGAUAUUCGCAAGAACACCAGUGGCGAAGGCGGCUUACUGGUCCGACACUGACGCUGAGGCGGCGAAAAGCUAGGGGAGCAAACGGGG
rnacentral:rRNA from 1 species